rnacentral:rRNA from 1 species
GGACCUGACUGCUAUCGGAUUGAUACUAAGCCAUGUGAGUCAUUGUAGCAAUACAAGGCAGACGGCUCAGUAACACGUAGCCAACCUACCCUAUGGACGGGGAUAACCUCGGGAAACUGAGGAUAAACCCCGAUAGAUCAUAAUGCCUGGAACGGUUUAUGGUCCAAAUGAUUCGUCGCCGUAGGAUGGGACUGCGGCCUAUCAGCUUGUUGGUGAGGUAAUGGCCCACCAAGGCUAUUACAGGUACGGGCUCUGAGAGGAGAAGCCCGGAGAUGGGUACUGAGACACGGACCCAGGCCCUAUGGGGCGCAGCAGGCGAGAAAACUUUGCAAUGUGCGCAAGCACGACAAGGUUAAUCCGAGUGAUUCCUGCUAAAGGAAUCUUUUGCUAGUCCUAAAAACACUAGCGAAUAAGGGGUGGGCAAGUUCUGGUGUCAGCCGCCGCGGUAAAACCAGCACCUCAAGUGGUCAGGAGGAUUAUUGGGCCUAAAGCAUCCGUAGCCUGCUCUGUAAGUUUCCGGUUAAAUCCAUUAGCUCAACUGAUGGGCCGCCGGAAAAACUGCAAAGCUAGGGAGUGGGAGAGGUAGACGGUACUCGGUAGGAAGGGGUAAAAUCCUUUGAUCUAUUGAUGACCACCUGUGGCGAAGGCGGUCUACCAGAACACGUUCGACGGUGAGGGAUGAAAGCUGGGGGAGCAAACCGGAUUAGAUACCCGGGUAGUCCCAGCUGUAAACGAUGCAGACUCGGUGAUGCCCUGGCUUGUGGCCAGUGCGGUGCCGCAGGGAAGCCGUUAAGUUUGCCGCCUGGGAAGUACGUACGCAAGUAUGAAACUUAA